UACGGAGGGUGCAAGCGUUAUCCGGAUUCACUGGGUUUAAAGGGUGCGUAGGUGGGCUAGUAAGUCAGUGGUGAAAUCUCCGGGCUUAACCCGGAAACUGCCAUUGAUACUAUUAGUCUUAAAUACCAUGGAGGUGAGCGGAAUAUGUCAUGUAGCGGUGAAAUGCUUAGAUAUGACAUAGAACACCAAUUGCGAAGGCAGCCCCUGGCUAAGACGUUACUGCUCUGAGACGAAAGCGUGGGGAGCAAACAGG
rnacentral:rRNA from 1 species